CCGCAGAACACGUCAAAAAUCUCUCUGCAAAUCCUUCGGUUCUCGCCAUCAUCUUCUUUAUCUUCUUCUCCCAAGAAAGUUUUAGAGCGGCGGACAUGGAGUGCAGGCGCCUGGACGUGACGGUGAUGUCCGCCAAGGACCUCAAGGACGCCAACGUCUUCGGCAAGAUGGACCCCUACGUCGCCGUCUCCCUCUCCGGCGUCGCCGACAAGCGCCAGAAGAGCAAGCAGCGCACCCCGUCCACAAGGACGGCGGCACCAGCCCCCGCUGGGGCCACCCGCUCUCCUUCACCGUCGACGAGGCCGCUGCCCGCGCGGGCCACCUCAAGCUCAAGUUCAAGAUCAAGGCCGAGAAGACGCUCGGCGGCGACAAGGAGGUCGGCAGGGUCGAGGUGCCGGUCACGGAGCUCCUCGAGCAGGGCGGCGAGGGCGGCGACGGGACGCCAAGGUGACCAGCUAUAGCCUGAGGCUGCCGUCCGGGAAGACCAAGGGGUUCCUGGAGUUUUCCUACAAGUUCGGUGAACGGUUCACCGUGGCGGCGCUGCCCCCGCCGGCCGCCAAGAAGGCGGACGAGCCGAUCAUGGCUUAUCCGGCCGCCUCGGGCUCGUCCGCAGGGUACCCGCCGCCGCCAAUGCACGGGGCGGGGCCGUACCCUCCGCCGGCGGGAUACGGGUAUCCGCAGCAGGGGUAUCCGCCGAACGCCGCGCCCGGGUACGGCUACCCGCCCCAGGGAUACGCGCCUCCGCCGCCGGGGUACGGGCAUCCCCCGGCGGGAUACGGGUACCCGCCGGCCGCGUACCAGCAGAAGCCUCCCAAGAAGAGCGGCGGCGGGAACUUCGGGCUGGGGCUGGCGGGCGGGUUGCUCGGCGGGCUGCUGAUCGGGGACAUGGUAUCGGACGUGUCGGACGCCGCCGCGUACGACGCCGGCUUCGAUGACGCUUUCGAUAUGUAAAAGCGAGUUUUUUUCCUUGUUAUUCCGUCUUCCAUCUUUUGCCUAUUUACGUUAUGUUUCGUGUCUUGAGUUAUCGAGAUGUAAAUGAAGUAUACGCGUUUAUUUCAUGGACUAAAAUAACAAUCUGACCUUUUAUUUU